rnacentral:rRNA from 1 species
UACGGGGGGGGCAAGCGUUGUUCGGAAUUACUGGGCGUAAAGGGCUCGUAGGCGGCCAACUAAGUCAUACGUGAAAUCCCUCGGCUUAACCGGGGAACUGCGUCUGAUACUGGAUGGCUUGAAUUCGGGAGAGGAAUGCAGAAUUCCAGGUGUAGCGGUGAAAUGCGUAGAUAUCUGGAGGAACACCGGUGGCGAAGGCGGCAUUCUGGACUGCAACUGACACUGAAAGACGAAAGCCAGGGGAGCAAACGGG